rnacentral:rRNA from 1 species
UGGCCUACGGGAGGCAGCAGUGAGGAAUAUUGGUCAAUGGCCGGGAGGCUGAACCAGCCAAGUCGCGUGAGGGAAGACGGCCCUACGGGUUGUAAACCUCUUUUGUCAGGGAGCAAGGUGCAGGUCGGGACCUGCUGUGAGAGUACCUGAAGAAAAAGCAUCGGCUAACUCCGUGCCAGCAGCCGCGGUAAUACGGAGGAUGCGAGCGUUAUCCGGAUUUAUUGGGUUUAAAGGGUGCGCAGGCGGAGGUGCAAGUCAGCGGUCAAAUUGCGGGGCUCAACCCCGUACUGCCGUUGAAACUGCAU